rnacentral:rRNA from 1 species
UACGAAGGGUGCAAGCGUUACUCGGAAUUACUGGGCGUAAAGCGUGCGUAGGUGGUUUGUUAAGUCUGAUGUGAAAGCCCUGGGCUCAACCUGGGAAUUGCACUGGAUACUGGCAGGCUAGAGUGCGGUAGAGGAUGGCGGAAUUCCCGGUGUAGCAGUGAAAUGCGUAGAGAUCGGGAGGAACAUCCGUGGCGAAGGCGGCCAUCUGGGACAACACUGACGCUGAAGCACGAAAGCGUGGGGAGCAAACAGG